UACGUAGGGUCCGAGCGUUGUCCGGAAUUAUUGGGCGUAAAGGGCUCGUAGGCGGUUCGUCACGUCGGGAGUGAAAACUCGGGGCUUAACCCCGAGCCUGCUUCCGAUACGGGCAGACUAGAGGUAGGCAGGGGAGAGCGGAACUCCUGGUGUAGCGGUGGAAUGCGCAGAUAUCAGGAGGAACACCGGUGGCGAAGGCGGUUCUCUGGGCAUUACCUGACACUGAGGAGCGAAAGCCAGGGGAGCAAACGGG
rnacentral:rRNA from 1 species